GACGAACGCUGGCGGCGUGCCUAAUACAUGCAAGUCGAACGACGAGACUUUAACUGAUGCUUGCAUCGACCAAAGGAUCGGAGUGGCGAACGGGUGAGUAACACGUGGGUAACCUGCCUAUCAGAGGGGGAUAACACUUGGAAACAGGUGCUAAUACCGCAUAACAAUCAUAACCGCAUGGUUAUGAUUUGAAAGGCGCUUCUGGUGUCACUGAUAGAUGGACCCGCGGUGCAUUAGCUAGUCGGUGGGGUAACGGCCUACCGAGGCGAUGAUGCAUAGCCGACCUGAGAGGGUGAUCGGCCACAUUGGGACUGAGACACGGCCCAAACUCCUACGGGAGGCAGCAGUAGGGAAUCUUCCACAAUGGACGAAAGUCUGAUGGAGCAACGCCGCGUGAGGGAUGACGGCCUUCGGGUUGUAAACCUCUUUUAGUAGGGAAGAAGCGAAAGUGACGGUACCUGCAGAAAAAGCACCGGCUAACUACGUGCCAGCAGCCGCCGUAAGAC
rnacentral:rRNA from 1 species